CUCUUUUCCACAGGCCUGUUUCCCCUCAGACCACUUGGGAGUGUGAUGGGCUUUCCUGCUGGCCCCUGGCUGCCAGGCACCCUGACCCCUGCCCUAGCCCCACCUUGCUGUCAGGCCUUCUCAGCCCGGCUGACCUUUGUGCUCUAGACUGUUUCCUCACUCCGUACUCCCGCUAAACCCUAACCAGUUUCAGAUCUUGGUCCUUUAGGGCUCUGUCUUCUGUUUCCCAAGAGCUUCGUUGAUUACCUCGAAAGGCGGGGGCUGGGACGGGGCACCGCAAUUCAAGGCACAACAGAAAUCGGGAGUGGAGCAUUUCUUCGGACCAUGCGCAUAACUUUGUGUUAAGUGUUGGCACUACAACGAAUUUCACCGAACUCUGCGGACCGCCCUAACAACCCAGCACAUCGACUACUCCCUGAGCGCAGACGGUGCGCGCUUCCUUGGUGGGCAUGGCGCUUCUGCCACCGCAGCCUGCAGACGUAGCCAGGAACCUCCCACCUACAGGCACUAUUAAUCACAGUGGAAACGAACAGGAAUCAACGCAUAAUGGAUAAGAUUAGCCGUCCGCGGAAGCACAGCACUUCAAACCGAGUGGUAAACACCGGCCAGCAGCUCUGCCAGAUAUAAUCAGAGACAAGAGCACUUCUGCCACCAAUCCAGAGACGAGAGUGCCCUGGAGUGUGGGCCUGGUGCAUCCUUAGGACCGGAACCUUUUUCGAAAGUGACCUUUUUAAUCAUGUUGUAACUGAGUGCCUGAUAGAAGGAUGGUGCUCUGUAUGGAUUCUAGAAUCUAGGGGAAGGAGCCAAAGAGUAAAUAUUUGUGGGUGUUUAUCCUGUGCUGCAAAUACUGUUUGAUAGGUCACUGGAUAACAUAAAAGCCAGCAUUUACAGAACACUUACUAUCUGUGCCAGGCCAGGGGGGCAGAACAGUUCCAACAACGAUCCCAGCUGUCUCUUUCAAUCAAACCAAGCGUGGUGAUCGGUCCGUACCCCAGUGGGAUUGGAACAUCUAAUCCUUCCCGCUCUCCAGGGCUGUGUAGAGAGAAACCAUCGAUCUGUCUGACCAAAAGCUACAGCCAGAGUAAUUCUUGGAAUUUUCCUAUCGCAAUUCUCUUAAGAAGCAGUUUCAAAAGGGUGGCAAUGGCAAAUUGAAUGAAAGUUUGGACGGGUCUCUGGGCCAGUGAAAGUAACUUAUAGUCAGAAAACGUUUUCUUUAAUUUCACAUUUUUUUAGAUUUUUUUUUUUUUACUGAUUAUUAAAGUAAUCC
rnacentral:lncRNA from 1 species